rnacentral:rRNA from 1 species
AUGGAGGUGGGCGAGGUGGACGAGGGCCAUGGGCGAGGCGGCCAUGGUGGGGAGGCGGGGGCGUCCAACCCGAGGAGGACGGGCGAGGCAACCAUGGUGGGGAGGCGGGGGGUGGCCAACCCGAGGAGGAUGGGCGAGGCGGCCAUGGUGGGGAGGCGGGGGGCGGCCAACCUGUUGACGACGGGCAAAGCGGCCAUGGUGGGGAGGCGGAGGGCGGCCAUGGUGGGGAGGCCGGCUGUGCGGUGGUCUCAGCCUUGCGUGGACUUGGUUGAAUCAAUCAUAGAGCAGUACUCGCCUCGUUAUUUGGAAAUUGCACAUGUUCAGUACUAUGAUGAUUUCAUUAAAAUCUACCCUGAAGUAACAUCUGACCAAGAAUUGAUGUUGAUGUUUGAGAUACACUCUAAGACAAAGGGUGUGCACAUGUUUGUUGCAUAUUGUGAUCCAUCGGAACCAUAUGAGCCUAUAACGGAGUGGCAUAGUGAUGCGCAUAGCCAACCUAACAACAUAGAACAAGAUGAUGAUGAUUAUCUUCGCAACCCAGUACCUGAGAAGGAGCAUGUUGGUGUUGAUGAGGAAAAUAUUUAUUUAGAGGAUGAACCUGUACCACUUAUCAUGGUUCCUUGUUCCAAUAAAGAAAAGGACAAAGACUAUGUUCCUGAUCAUGAGAGCGAGGCUGAGAGCAAGGUUGAGAGCGAGGAUGGGAGCGAGGAUGAGAGCAUGUCAGAGGUUGAAGUAGAGGAAGAUGAGGAAUAUCACGAGGCAGAUCAUGCACCACACAUUGAAUAUAAUAAAUUAGAUCCUCCAAUGAACGAAGGAAGAAAAUAUCCCAAUAUGGCAGAGUUUAAAUUGGCGCUUUCUCAACAUGCAAUCAAACAUGAAUUUGAGUUCGACACCGAAAAGAGUGCACCACAUAGGUUCAGAGCUUAUUGUUCAAGAAGGGAUGAAGAUAAGUGUCCAUGGAGGAUAUAUGCUUCUACAAUGGAAGAUGAGUGCACAGUAAUGGUGAGAAAGAACCCUUGUGGUCAUGAUUGCUCUAGUACAAAAAGAAAAAAGAAGUUGAAGAAUGCAAACAAGCGGUGGAUAUGUGAGCACGUGAAGGACUGGCUAAUUGAGGAUGCAACUCUAGGACCAAAGGCAUUGCUAAAGAGGCUGAAAGAGCAUCAUGGAAUCGACAUCAACUCUAAGAGAGUCUAUAUGGGACAUGUUCUUGUAGACAAUGGCAAGUUUCUGGCCUUCCUUGCAAGCAUGGUCUAG